rnacentral:rRNA from 1 species
GACGAACGCUGGCGGCGUGCUUAACACAUGCAAGUCGAGCGGAAAGGCCCUUCGGGGUACUCGAGCGGCGAACGGGUGAGUAACACGUGAGUAAUCUGCCCUUGGCUUUGGGAUAACUACCGGAAACGGUGGCUAAUACCGGAUACGACAACCGUCUGCAUGGGCUGGUUGUGGAAAGUUUUUUCGGCCAGGGAUGUGCUCGCGGCCUAUCAGCUUGUUGGUGGGGUAAUGGCCUAUCAAGGCUUCGACGGGUAGCCGGCCUGAGAGGGUGACCGGCCACACUGGGACUGAGACACGGCCCAGACUCCUACGGGAGGCAGCAGUGGGGAAUAUUGGACAAUGGGCGGAAGCCUGAUCCAGCAACGCCGCGUGAGGGAUGACGGCCUUCGGGUUGUAAACCUCUUUCAGUACCGACGAAGCGCCGAUGAUGGUGGUGACGGUAGGUACAGAAGAAGCACCGGCCAACUACGUG